rnacentral:rRNA from 1 species
GACAGAGGUGCCAAGCGUUAGGCGGAAUCACUGGGCUUAAAGCGUGUGUAGGCGGAAUGGUAAGUACCUUGUGAAAUCCCACGGCUCAACCGUGGAACUGCUUGGUAUACUGCUUUUCUUGAGCCACUUAGGGGCGAACCGGAACAAACGGUGGAGCGGUGAAAUGCGUAGAUAUCGUUUGGAACGCCAAUGGUGAAAACAGGUUGCUGGGAGUGUGCUGACGCUGAGACACGAAAGCCAGGGG